rnacentral:rRNA from 1 species
CCGUAGCCCAAGAGAUCGGGAUAACACCUGGAAACAGAUGCUAAUACCGGAUAACAACAGAUGAUGCCUAUCAACUGUUUAAAAGAUGGUUCUGCUAUCACUCUUGGAUGGACCUGCGGUGCAUUAGCUAGUUGGUAGGGUAACGGCCUGCCAAGGCGAUGAUGCAUAGCCGAGUUGAGAGACUGAUCGGCCACAUUGGGACUGAGACACGGCCCAAACUCCUACGGGAGGCAGCAGUU